CGGGGUGAGUAAUGUAUGGGGAUCUGCCUGAUGGCGGGGGAUAACUACUGGAAACGGUAGCUAAUACCGCAUAACGUCGCAAGACCAAAGAGGGGGACCUUCGGGCCUCGCGCCAUCAGAUGAACCCAUAUGGGAUUAGCUAGUAGGUAAGGUAACGGCUUACCUAGGCGAUGAUCCCUAGCUGGUCUGAGAGGAUGAUCAGCCACACUGGAACUGAGACACGGUCCAG
rnacentral:rRNA from 1 species